UCACAAUUAACCUUGCUAAUAAAGCAAUUAGGGUUUAUAAUAUCGAUAAUUAGGGUUUCCAUAAUAUAAUUAGGGUUUCUAGAAAUUAAAUUAGGGUUCUAGGUUUUAGGGUUUUAAUUUACUAAUUAAAUUUAUUUUAAUUAGCAAUUAAAGUCUAUCACGCGUGUUAUUUAUCACUGUAACACAAUUCUUGACAGAUCAAACCUCCGGUUUAGGUUUC
rnacentral:lncRNA from 1 species